UACAGAGGUCUCAAGCGUUGUUCGGAAUCACUGGGCGUAAAGGGUGCGUAGGCGGUUCCAUAAGUCAGUGGUGAAAUACAAUAGCUUAACUAUUGAGGUGCCAUUGAUACUGCGGAACUUGAGUACAGACGAGGUAGGCGGAAUUGACGGUGUAGCGGUGAAAUGCUUAGAUAUCGUCAAGAACACCGAUAGCGAAGGCAGCUUACUAGACUGUAACUGACGCUGAGGCACGAAAAGUGUGGGGGAUCAAACAGG
rnacentral:rRNA from 1 species